UAAUAUUCUGGUCAGCACAUUCGAUAAACUACAGUUGUACAUGGAACUCAUUAAAUCACUUCUUUUUCUUUCAGUGGUCUUCAACUUUUAAUCUCUAAGAAGGAAAUGUAAUUAAAAGAUGAAUAAAGUAUCCAUAAGAAUACCAGAAGAAAGGCUGUGUUGAGAAAAACAGCCCUUCCUCAGUACCUCAGAACUAGAUGAUAGUCCUUGUUACUUUAUGCUGAAUAUGACACAGUAUAGAAGAUCUGAUCAUGAAGAAGUUACACCAUUGAUACACUUGCCAACUGCCAAAACUACUUUCUGAUAGUAUGACAAGAUUAGAAGAUAUCAUGGUGUAGUCAUGACACAAACUGCAAAUCAAAGAUUGUCUUCCCCAGAGGAUGAACAGAGUGCUUCACAUGGAUAACAUUUCCUUUUCGAGUUUUGAAAUUAAGCAUGGCACCAGGAUAGCUAGAUGCCCAUAUUCCCAGCAAAAUGAGCCAGUCCUAAAGAGAGUCCACUAGAGAUGAAAUAAAACGCAUUAAAAUGUAUUGAGAAAAGAUUUGUCAGAAUGUUAUGCAUCAUGAUCAACAGAAAAGAACUUCACAGGUAGACCAAAGCUGACAUGGGAUGAGAUCCUAAAACGAAACCUAGAGUUUAGAGGAUUGGAUAGGAUCAAUCCACUGGGUCGCCAAGUGUAGAAGUACAAACUUCAACCUCGACAGGACAGCCAGGCCUCACCCUUGCAAAACUAUUAAUUUGGCCUGGAUAGUCAAAAUGAGUGAUGAUGAUGAUAUCAAGGUCUGACACUGUAAGCUCAGUAAGGGUAGAUGCUGGCAAUGGAGCUGUUAAGCAAUACAACAAACAGGUUUAACAUUGAACAUGUUUAUAUACUUUUUAGCUCACCUGAGCCAAAGGCUCAAAUGAGCUUUUCUGAUCACCUUUGCCUGUCGUCUGUCUCUCUGUAAACUUUUCACAUUUUCAUUUUCUUCUCCAGAGUGAACCACUGGGCCAGUUUCAAUCAAACUUGGUAUGCAUCAUCAAUAUAUAAGGGGUAUGCAAAAAUUGGGUGGGGUCAUUUAAAAAACCUUUUCAAGAACCACUGGACCAGGAAAGUUGAAUUCACAUAAAAGGUUCCUGUUUUGUGCAAAUCAUGGUAUCCGGGGGUAGGGUGAGGUCACAAUCGAGGAUCAAAGUUUUACAUUCAUAUAUAGUACAGAUUCAAGUUUGUUAAAGGUCAUGGCUCACAGGGGUAGAGUGGGGUCACAAUAGGGGAUCUAAGUUUUAUAUGUGAAAUAUAUACAAGGAAAAUCUUUUAAAAUCUUCUCCUAAAAAACUAGAUGCAGAACUAAACCCAAAAUUGUAGCUCUUUGAGAAGAUAUUGGGGCAAGUCAGAGUGCUAGAGCUUCAAAUGAGCCCCUUAUUAAAAAUCUUCAAUUUACGGCACAUAAAAAAAGUGCAUGGUUAAGUCCCUCUAUCACUGCAUUCCUGCAUCGCUGUCUCAUGAAUUUAAUAUUAAAUAAUUCCUAACAUAUUUUCCCACUAUACUUGUUUCCAAGCAUACUUUCAAAUAUUCCUUAAACCCACAUAUACCCUAAAAACUCACAGCUUCAAGUGAUUUUCUUUGUUGAUGUAGCCAUGUUAGGUAUACGUAGCCAGUCAAUUUGAACCCCAGUUCAUUUCCAUACUCGUACUCAUUUUGAAACAUAAUGUCUGUGUGAACUAAUAUCCCCACAAAUAUUUUUAGUGAAAUAUUUUGGAUGAAAUCAUCCUAGUUGGGUUAAAUACUUAUUAUUCAAAAAAAUGUAGGUUUGAAUAUUGAACUAAUCUCACAGCUUUCUUAAGUUUGGUCCCCAUCCACUCCAGUCUGUUUUUACGCUUAACUAUUGAAAUGGAGUGUAAGGGAUCAGACUAGGCUUUAAUAGCAUUAUCAAUUUUCAAAAGCUUUAGAAAAAUUAUACAAUUUUAGGUCACUUGAGUAAACUCAGAUGACAUAUUGCUAUUGGUCUGCGUCCGUUGUAGUCCGUCGAUGUUAACAAUUGAAUAUUUUUAACUAAAUUCUAUAACUGAAAGGUGAAGAUAACGAACAGCGAUCAAUCUACGAUUCGAAUAACAGAAUUCUUUUCAAAUUUAGUAUGAAGCACACAAAUUUACAUUAAACCUUCCUGACAUAGUGCAUAUUCAAGUUUGUUAAAAUCAUUUCCCGGGAGGUAUGGUGUGGUAACAAUAGGGAAUCAAAGUUUUAUAUACUGAUACAUGUAUAUUUAAAGGAAAAAUCUUUAAAGAUAUCUCUUGAACUAUUUAAGCUAGAGCUUUCAUAUCUUGUAUAUACAAUUUUUAUGGCAAAACAAAUCUGACCUAUUCAGUGUGUCCUGAACUACAUUGUGUUUAAGGUAAAACUUAUAUGGUACCAAUUUUGAUGCACCAGAUGCGCAUUUCGACAAAUAAUGUCUCUUCAUUGGUUGGUGUGGGUUCGAAUCCUGCUUGCACCGGUAAGUGAGAAAGUUUCCCAGUUUACUCUCGGAAGGUCAGUGGUCUCUUCCCAGGUACAUUGUAUCUGGGUUCUCUCUUCCACCAAUAAAAACUGGGCACCACCAGAUAACUGAAAAAUUGUUGAGUGUGGCGGAAAACAGCUAAAACAAUCAAUCAUAUUAUGUUCUUUGACCUUGUGACCCUGAACUCUGAGUUUGACCUACUUUUAAGAAAGUAUAACUUAUUAAGUAUAUCCAGGACUAUUUUAGAUAGGGCUUUCAUGUAUUGUAUAUAGAUUACUUAUGGCAAAGUCUUUCAUAUCAUACCAAGACCUAUGACUUCAUACCUUGGUCUUAUCCAGAACAGCAAUAUCAUGCUUGUCAUAUCUUUGUGUUAUAUGAUUUCAUUUUAGUAAUGUUGUGUUCUUUAGAGGUAGGUUUGGGUCAUAUUAUUCAUGAGAAUAAAGAUUAAUAAAAUAGCAUUUAAAAAUCAAAACAGCAGGGCCAAGGUGACUCAGGUGAGCGAUGUGGCCCCUGGGCCUCUUGUUGAUUUUGAUAUUUGUACAGAUAUCAUUUGUAUGAGAAAUGGAACUUUUUUUUUCUUUUACAAAUACAUGUAUUAUCAUAUGGAUCCAUCUGUGUUGAUUAUUUAAUCAAAGGACUACAUUCAAUGUAUUAAAUGCAAAUUUAUUGAUAUGUCUGUGGUUGAAUUACUCAUGUAUGUAUACAUUUUUUUGACACAUGCAAUUACAUAUAUAAUGUAUAUAUAUAUAUAUAUAUACUAAUUGUACAUAUAACAUCUCCUGUAAUAUAAUAAAAUAUAUGACUGAGAAUAAAA